GAUGGUUCAAGUGAAUCCUUUAUUAUUGGUGUGGACUCAUCGAGGUGAGGGUGUCUACUAGGAUGUGACAGAAGGCAUGUGGACGGAGUAGGCGAGGAGGUGAGAUGGACGCAUGACAUUGUCAGGAUAUUUAGGAGUGCAGAGCAAACUCUUUCCAUUGUGAGAGGUUCUUCAUUUGUUUAGGGAGAGAUUUGAAAAUUCAUUGUUCCUUUGUUUUGUUAAACACUUGUUUGGGAUACUGUCAUUUACAUUGGGUAAGAUAGAUCAUUUUGAUGUAAUUGCA